rnacentral:rRNA from 2 species
AACAUGCAGUCGAGCGGAGUUGGAGAGCUUGCUCUCCAACUUUAGCGGCGGACGGGUGAGUAACACGUGGGCAACCUGCCCUGCAGAUCGGGAUAACUCCGGGAAACCGGUGCUAAUACCGAAUAGUUUGUCCUCCCUCCUGGGAGGAUACGGAAAGACGGUUUCGGCUGUCACUGCAGGAUGGGCCCGCGGCGCAUUAGCUAGUUGGUGGGGUAACGGCCCACCAAGGCCACGAUGCGUAGCCGACCUGAGAGGGUGAUCGGCCACACUGGGACUGAGACACGGCCCAGACUCCUACGGGAGGCAGCAGUAGGGAAUCUUCCGCAAUGGACGCAAGUCUGACGGAGCAACGCCGCGUGAGUGAUGAAGGUUUUCGGAUCGUAAAACUCUGUUGCGAGGGAAGAAACCGUGCCAGCUAACUACUGGCACCUUGACGGUACCUCGCCAGAAAGCCACGGCUAACUACGUGCCAGCAGCCGCGGUAAUACGUAGGUGGCAAGCGUUGUCCGGAAUUAUUGGGCGUAAAGCGCGCGCAGGCGGUCCCUUAAGUCUGAUGUGAAAGCCCACGGCUCAACCGUGGAGGGUCAUUGGAAACUGGGGGACUUGAGUGCAGAAAAGGAAAGUGGAAUUCCAUGUGUAGCGGUGAAUUGC